ACCUAUCAAGCUAGUCUUUUGGGUUGAGCUCUCCUGUUUAGUUUAUUACAUUGGUGCUAGUAGUGGCCUGGACCUAAGAGGGGUGUCAGCCGUGACCAACGAGGUCGUUGGUUCUCAAGCGGAGACGAUUGUUAUGAACCAAUUAUUCUGAAAAAAUAGAGAAAUGCUAAGCGGUUUAUAGGUCAAUUGUGUCUCACAUUGGAAACAUAGAGAAAUGCUA
rnacentral:lncRNA from 1 species